UUCCCAAUUCCCAUGUUGUGAGUAAGGCGCGCGGAGGUAGGGUGUUAAUAUCGAUAUUUUAGCUCCGUUUUCACUAUCGAGCAGAGAUAACAGUGAUUAGCUUCGUCUCAGAAGCAGACGAACAAUGUGUGAAAGCCUGGGGUUGAAAAAAGGAGACGAAGGGCUUAUCAAGUUUGUAAGCCCUCAUCUUGGAUCAGAGGGGAAAAUGGAUCUCAACUGAGUUUUAUGUAUGCUGUAGCAGACGACACAGCGGACGCGAAGCACGUUAAAUGAUUUUUAUUUAGAAAAACAAAACAAAAAUCUGUUGAGAAGGUGGGGAUAGAAAGCUAUGGAGAUCAUUAAGCAAAAUAUUGAAUUCAGAGGUUUGGGCACUAAAAUCUUUUCAGGGUUAAAGCGUUUCCUUCUUAAGUUUGUAAAAAGCGUUCACAGGAGAAAGUGAGAGUGAAUCAUGUCUGAAAAUGAAGUUUUUGGGAAUGGAUCCAACGUUUUGAAAUAUUCUUUUCCUUGUGGUGGCAUUGUAUACCUUCGUGUGACGGAGGAGAUAAAAACCAAAUAUGAAAAAGAUGCCCAAUGCAAAGCUGAUCUUAAUGCUAAGGCGUAUCAAUAUUUCCUCAACAUGGAAGAACACAGAAAGAGGGUCGAAGAAGAAAGAAAGAGGCAAGAAGAAUUAGAUAUUAAAAAAGACGAAUUUAUUUUAUUUUCAAGAAGACCAAACGGAAUGUGAAGUAGAAUCGUCAGGUGACGAGCAGGUUGCCCAAUCUGGUUGUGGAGCCAAGCGUCGUUUUGGCGCUGCAUCACGUGUGCAGGUUUAUAACGGAGUAAUUAAAGUUUUACCCAAGCCUCCUGUUAAAAGUAAACGAUCCGCACCUAAAAAAAACAAGAGAGAAAAAGGCCGACUCAACCAUUCAAAAAGAGAAGAAUGGACUAUGCUGAGAACGAGCCGAAACCUUCCUCAUCAACUGCUGUUGACGUACCUGACAAGGAAAACGAAGAAAUUCCUGAGGCUGGCGAACAGGAUUCUGAUCCUAAUUUGGCCAUAGAAGAUUCCGGGUCGGACGAGGGUGGUGGUGAUCCUGGAAAGUGGACCACCAAAGAAGUUUCUAAACUCUUGGACGUGAAUCAAAAUUUUAAGCCACAAUUUGACGAGCCUUACGCGGUUAAGCUCCGCAUCUGGAAAAAAUUAAAAAAAUAACUUUAUAAUAAUUUUUUAGCCUUAUUUACAGCCAUUUUGUUAUUUAGAUUUCGAAAAUUCCUGAAAUAGUGGCAACCGGAAAGUCAUGUUUUCAACUCUCGAAAAAAAUUGAUAACCUGAAAAAGAAUUGGCGCAAGAUGAAACGUCCAUGCGCGAAGGCUAAUUCCAAUUGGAGAUGGACCAAAAAAAUUAAUCUUAUAUUUGGGGACGACCCAGCCAUUGAGUUGAAUGACGUUGCCAAGGUCGGUGAUGGUGGUCCCAUAAAGAAGGCUCCAGCAGUUAAUAAUUCUUCAAAUUGGAAGACAGAGUUGGUGGCCAUUGAGAAAGAACGUGUCGAUGUUCUCAAGGACAUCGCACGUAGUCAAGUAAAAAAACUGCAACUUUUGACCGUUUAACUUCUAUUAUUGAAAAGUGGUCUGAGAAAUAAGAAAUUAAUACACUGCGUUUGUUCAUACUUCGAUUUGAUUUCAUUUUCUGAUUAGACAAUAAUGAUAUACAAAAACGGACGGAUUCACUACUCACACAAAAUUACAUCAAAAGAUAUGAUAUGAUUUGUCUUUUUCCAGCAGCCGUACCACGUUCGUCACAAUUUCCAUCCUCUUCACCAGCAUCAUCUUCUUCCUCCUCAGCGUGUACAUCCU